AUGACAUCUUUGCUAAGCUUUAGGAACAGAAAUAAUAUCUCACUCUUCCAUUCUCCAUAUGAAAAUGGCCAGGCUGACCUCCAGUGGGUAUCCUUUCYGUGGUAUGUGUUCAUAAGGAUCUUCAGAUUUAGUGAGCACCUUUCAGCAAGCGUGAGGAUGUUUGGUGUACUUGCAGCGGCCUUGGACUGUGACCCCUGGACCUGGCCGGUACAGCUAGAGACAUCGGAGCGCUGCAUGCCUGGAAUAAACGCGCAUAACACCCAACAAUCAUGGUAUUAA
rnacentral:lncRNA from 1 species